rnacentral:rRNA from 1 species
GACGAACGCUGGCGGCGUGCCUAAUACAUGCAAGUCGAACGCUGAAGAGAGGAGCUUGCUCUUCUUGGAUGAGUUGCGAACGGGUGAGUAACGCGUAGGUAACCUGCCUGGUAGCGGGGGAUAACUAUUGGAAACGAUAGCUAAUACCGCAUAACAACAGUUGUUGCAUGACAGCUGGUUAAAAGAUGCAAUUGCAUCACUACCAGAUGGACCUGCGUUGUAUUAGCUAGUUGGUGAGGUAACGGCGCACCAAGGCGACGAUACAGAGCCGACCUGAGAGGGUGGGCGGCCACACUGGGACUGAGACCCGGCCCAGACUCCUACGGGAGGCAGCAGUAGGGAAUCUUCGGCAAUGGGGGGAACCCUGACCGAGCAACGCCGCGUGAGUGAAGAAGGUUUUCGGAUCGUAAAGCUCUGUUGUAAGAGAAGAACGGGUGUGAGAGUGGAAAGUUCACACUGUGACGGUAGCUUACCAGAAAGGGACGGCUAACUACGUG